GAAGAACUACGUAUCCCAGAGGACCUCACGGUCAGAGAAGGAAGACACAUCACGGAAGAUACGUCAUCUGGUUGCGCGCGGUGCUUCUUCACUUUCGCUUGCUGCCGGGAGAGGAGUGGGUGUGCUUUCCAAGCCGGGCGCCUUCAUCAAGGUUUUCAAGGGAUACUGAUGCACACGAAACAUGAGGGAACGGCAGUCUAAAAACUACUCUUGACAUCUGGCUAUGGCAUGAGAAGUUGUAUCACUGUCUACUUCAGUAGGCCACCUGUUCAAGCUGUAUCUGCCUUGCAUGCCCUUUGGCCAGUGAGAAAGAACUACCAAUGCAAAUGUUUUCCCUGCAGUGCAGGAGGAGCUGUGAAGAUGAAAGAAGCACAUUCUUUCCUCACAGUGGAAAUGCAUUAAUAAACCUUCACAAUGGAUGAACAGCAGCAGUGAGGGUACCAACCCUUGAAGAUACUGCUUUUGUCCAGGGGGAGUAAAAUGUGUCCUAAAUAAUAAUAAUAAUAAAUAUAGAGUUAUGUAUGUGUUCUUAAAAUAAGAGUCAAAAUUAUUGGGAAUUAACUUUCUAAAUAACUAAUAUAUUCUGUUACUCAGAAAAUCUGCCCACCAGGAACUACAGGAGUGGAAUAAUUCUAUGAGUCUCACCUGUGUGUAUACUCUUUGCUGACUGCUGCUACCACAGCCUGCGUCUUGAUCCACUGCAAACUGACAGUAGCAGUACGCUUUCAUUUCAGGCUUGACAUGUCUCUUGAUUGAAUUUUUGUUUAGUGUGAGCUGAAACAUGCUCUGAGACAAGAAAGCUGGCUUUUUUAGUAGGAAGGAAGAGGAACUGUAGUGUUGGCCUCAUUCUGGAUAAAACUUGAUUUGGAACUAUUUGUUCUUGAAGAAUUAAUUUUACGUUGGAAUGUAAAUGAACACAUUGGCAUUCUUUUAUAUGAAGUUAUUUUAAGUUAUAUUUACCAUCAGAUUAUAUGAACAUCUAUUUUAUAUAUUUAUUUUUAUUAUUAUUAUUACUUUAUCUUUGCCUGCAUGACCGUCAGGAGAAGAGGCAGGACUAAAGAAAGCAUCCAUGUUUACAGGAACCUUAUCAUCUCACAGCAUUUCACAAAUUCUGCUGUUUACUUCUGCCUAACUACCUUUUUCAUAGGAAACUGGAGAGGGAAGAAGCAGCAGAACUUCUGUAUUUUAAGCACAAGAGCUUUACUCUCACUACCUCUGUACCACAGCAGUGUGCCUCUAUUUUCACCUGGAAAGAAAAACAGGAUGUGAAAAGCAAAUUUAAUAUCUCCUUCUGAGAUUCCUCAGUUUCAUAUUCAUUGAGGAGAGAAUGAAGGAAUAGUUUUUGUUACCAGUUUUCCAGUCAUCUGCACCUUUACCAACCUCCAUUUCUUGGAGAUGUUAUAGUUUAAGCUUCAUUUUCCAAAUAUUCCUUCACUGACCUAGAAGUGUGUUCCAUAUCAGAAUUGACUCAAUACGAAAGUUAAUACUACUCAGAUACAAUUCUUCUCCUUCCAAUGAUUUUCUCUUUUCUCUGUAGUAACAACAACAACAAAACUUUCUGGAGCAAGUCCAGGAGUUAAGGUCAAGAUAAAGAAGCAGCAUUAUGAAAGUUUGUGACACUGCUGAGAGAUCAUGCUGGGAAGGAAUGCCAGCAGGUCAUAGGGACUUCCAGGAGCACUGGGAGAAGAUAGAAGCCUGGGAAGAAUCAGCAGAGGGUUUUAGAUGCUGAACUGCAGACUGAAAGUGGACAUCCUGGAGUGUAUAGUUCAGAAGUCUGUUGGACAGUUUUGAGGCAACUGUUAACAAUGAAGCUUUUUGUCUCCUACUUUUCCUACAUCCACAACAGCAUUUUGUUUCUGUAGGAAAAACCUAGGCAAACUUUGCUACCCAGUCAUACUUAUCUGAGCAUAACUUGUCAAUUAGGACAGCUCUGAUAUAUAGCUAUUUAGUGAUUUUGAAUAUAGGUUGCUGUACCUCUCCCUGAGUUGGCCACUACGAAGCAUAACGAGCCUACAGGGCAUGUUAGUGGUAAUUUAAAGCUGUUGCAGAACACUGUGAAGAGGCUGAGCUCUGGAAGGCUGGAACCAAGCUCACUGUAACCAAGGUCCACUCGUGCUCAUUGUCUGAGCCUAUUCCUGGGACUGUACUGACCCCUAGUGACUACAACUCUCAUUAAAUAAUUUCCAAAGCCUCUGUAUAAUUAUUAUUUUUACACAAAGUAUUGCUGUACAAAGCUUUCAUUAAAAGGUGUCUCCAUUAGGAGGAAAUUAUUAAAAUACUUUUUAAGCAAUGUCUACAGGAAGGGAAAUUUUGCUGUUUUUAUUUUACAAUAACCCAUUAUUUUUUUCUCAUGUGUGUGCUGACUUAAGACAUACUUUGAUAUAUUAAUAAAUGAACAGCUUAUUUAAAAUACCACUGCUGCUAAGAUCCUGGGAGUCAGUGAUUUUAAU
ensembl:lncRNA